rnacentral:rRNA from 1 species
GAUGAACGCUGGCGGCGUGCCUAAUACAUGCAAGUCGAGCGAAUGGAUUAAGAGCUUGCUCUUAUGAAGUUAGCGGCGGACGGGUGAGUAACACGUGGGUAACCUGCCCAUAAGACUGGGAUAACUCCGGGAAACCGGGGCUAAUACCGGAUAACAUUUUGAACCGCAUGGUUCGAAAUUGAAAGGCGGCUUCGGCUGUCACUUAUGGAUGGACCCGCGUCGCAUUAGCUAGUUGGUGAGGUAACGGCUCACCAAGGCAACGAUGCGUAGCCGACCUGGGAGGGUGAGCGGCCACACUGGGACUGAGACACGGCCCAGACGCCUACGGGAGGCAGCAGUAGGGAAUCGUCCGCAAUGGACGAAAGUCUGACGGAGCAACGCCGCGUGAGUGAUGAAGGCUUUCGGGUCGUAAAACUCUGUUGUUAGGGAAGAACAAGUGCUAGUUGAAUAAGCUGGCACCUUGACGGUACCUAACCAGAAAGCCACGGCUAACUACGUGCCAGCAGCCGCCGUAA